UACGGGGGGGGCAAGCGUUGUUCGGAAUUACUGGGCGUAAAGGGCGCGUAGGCGGUGUAUUAAGUUAGGCGUGAAAGCCCUGGGCUCAACCCGGGAAUUGCGCUUGAUACUGGUAUGCUAGAAUCCAGGAGAGGUUGGUGGAAUUCCCAGUGUAGAGGUGAAAUUCGUAGAGAUUGGGAAGAACACCGGUGGCGAAGGCGGCCAACUGGACUGGUAUUGACGCUGAGGCGCGAAAGCGUGGGGAGCAAACAGG
rnacentral:rRNA from 1 species